rnacentral:rRNA from 1 species
AGAGCGAACGCUGGCGGCGUGCUUAACACAUGCAAGUCGAACGCGCAGCAUUCUGUAGCAAUACAGGGUGUGGGCGCGUGGCGAACGGGUGCGUAACACGUGGAUAACCUUCCUUCAGGUGGGGAAUAACCCAGUGAAAAUUGGGCUAAUACCGCAUAACAUGACGAUGCCACAUGGUGUUGUCUUCAAAGGCGCAAGUCGCCAGAAGAGGGAUCCGCGGCCGAUUAGCUUGUUGGCGAGGUAAUGGCUCACCAAGGCAAUGAUCGGUAGCCGGACUGAGAGGUUGGCCGGCCACACUGGAACUGAGACACGGUCCAGACUCCUACGGGAGGCAGCAGUGGGGAAUCUUGCACAAUGGACGAAAGUCUGAUGCAGCAACGCCGCGUGGGGGAUGAAGCUUUCGGAGUGUAAACCCUUUCGACCCGGAAGAAUGCCCGCAAGGGUUUGACGGUACGGGUAUAAGAAGCCCGGCUAACUACGUGCCAGCAGCCGA